GACGAACGCUGGCGGCGUGCUUAACACAUGCAAGUCGAACGGAAAGGCCCUGCUUUUGUGGUGUGCUCGAGUGGCGAACGGGUGAGUAACACGUGUGUAACCUGCCCUUGACUUUGGGAUAACUUCAGGAAACUGGGGCUAAUACCGGAUAGGAGCUCCUCCUGCAUGGUGGGGGUUGGAAAGUUGCGGCGGUUGGGGAUGGACUCGCGGCUUAUCAGCUUGUUGGUGGGGUAGUGGCUUACCCAGGGUUUGACGGGUAGCCGACCUGGGAGAGUGACCGGCGACAAUGGGACUGAGAGACGGCGCAGAGUCGUACGGGAGGCAGAAGGGGGGAAUAUGGUACAAUGGGCGCGAGUCUGAGGCAGCAACGCCGGGGGCGGGAUGACGGCUUUCGGGUUGUAAACCGCUUUCGCCUGUGACGAAGCGUGAGUGACGGUAAUGGGUAAAGAAGCACCGGCUAACUACGUG
rnacentral:rRNA from 1 species